rnacentral:lncRNA from 1 species
CUUAACUCUUACAUUUCUAGUAACUAAAACAUACGGAGAUUGAACACAGGCUCAUAGGCCAUAGCAGGAACCCUUUUUGCAAUUCCUGCUAUCUGUAUAAUGUAGAAAGUCUGAGGCUACAAUUAAGCACCAGAGAGCUUUUCAAAUACCACCCUUGCCAAAGGUUAGAAUAUUACCAAUGAAACCUCCAGGGGUCAUGGCAUCCUUACAUAAUUGUCUUUUUAUCAAUUCUUGGAGUCCAGUCCAAAAUAUAUCCACUAUUUCUAGAAACUUGUACUGGCAAGACCUUUGCACAUUCCAUCCAUUUAGGAAAGGUACCAAACAAAUUCUAAUACAGAACAAUUAGGACAGUAAGGUAUUGGUGGACGUUCUGCAGAGAUGACUGGCUUGUUAGGAGAAAAUCCCAUUUUAAUAACUGUUAAACAUAUGCCCUUGAGUCACAGGGGUAGGUAGAUUGACUGGUCUAGCCACCCCUCCCCGCAUAUGCUGUCUUUUCCUCAAAAGAUACCCUUAAACAGCCAGCAUGUUUUAUCAUGGAACCAACAUAUAAGUAGUUGUCCAUGGUAACUAGUAUAAUUAAAUCCAGUCACAUGGAUGGGUGUAAUAUGAGUGUCUGUAAAGCCACCCAGCAUAUGAGUAUCAUUCGUAAAUACUGGGAUGGAUUCUGCAGUUCACAUAGCUGGGUGUACUAAAGGUGGAUCUGGAAAAUAUGUCCAGUAGCCUUCUCCAUGGACCCCACUAACCUGACAGCUCAAUAGAGCCAUCGUAAGCCACAAACUUUAUAGCUGGAGACUUAGUUUCUCCUUGUUGUUGAACCAUCUUUUCAGCCUGUUGCAUCAUAUUCUUCAGUUGUUUCCAUGAUGGCAAUUUGGACAUUUGGUUUCUCUGGGCCUUUUCUGUCCUUUUCACUCCUUACUAGCUUCCUCUUCCUCUUGGGGGGUCAGGGCUGACAUCUCUGAAUGGAUCUUUAGUCGUUUGAAACUUGAACAUAAUUUGUGGACCCAAGAAAGAGGAGAGAAGGGAAAGGGGUAACAAGAACAUCUGAAAAUAUAAUGGACAGAAUGUCCCAAAUUUGAUGAAAGAUAUAAAUCUGCAUAUCCAAGAAGCUCAACAGACCCAGUAGGAUAAACUGAAAGAUCCACACCAAGUCUUGUUUUAAUUAAAUUGUUCAAAGACAACAAUGUAACAAGAAAAAAGAGACUCCUCCAGUACAAGGGAUCUCAAUCAGUAAGGUUAAUAUCUGAUUUUUCUUCAGAAUUCAUGGAGGUCAAAAUGCAGUGGGAUGAAAUAUUAAAGUGCUUAGAGAUUCAACCAAGAAUUUUAAAUGUGGCAAAAAUUAUCUUUCAAACUAAAAGAGAAACUAAGACAUUCCCAAAUAGACAACAGCUUGAUGUGGUUUGUUAUGGUCCUAAAGGUUAAAUGAAAGGACAGUAGACAGAGACUCCAAGACAUACAAGAAAUAAAGACCUCGAAUAAAGGUAAUUACAUACAAGCAAGUAUAAAAAUUAGUAUUAUUGUAUUUUUGGUUUGUGAAUACACCUUUUUAUUUCCCAC